GUAUUUUUGCAUGAUGUUUACUUACUUCCAUGAUGAACUAAUGUCUCGGUUUCUUAAAAUUUAAUGUGAAAUUUAAUUCUAAACUAACUACAGUGGUGGAAAACAACAUUUAGACAAAACCAACAUAGGCAUCACUUUGUUGUUUGUAUGGAUUAUAAUUAUUGUAUUAAACACUGAAAAUAUAAUUUUUGAAACACAUUGUACUUUGUAGUCAUACAUAUGUAUCGAAAACAAACUUCCGAAAUGUAUACUUUUGAAUUUUUUUUAAUACAUUUGUAAGGGAGUGGUCAUUAUUUAUGGGGAGGGGGUGGUUGGGAAAUGGGGAAAAUAAGGAUUGAAAACUUUU